CCAACGGCCCUCUUUAGGGCCACAAAAACGAUAAAUCUUGCGUUC
rfam:Syphacia muris strain Valencia genome assembly, scaffold: SMTV_contig0000048